AAAAUGCAAGGUACAGCCUGCCCAGUGAUUAAUUCAACGGCCGCAGUACCCUGACUGUGCUAAGGUAGCGCAAUCAAUUGGCUUUUAAUUGGAGUCUUGUAUGAAUGGGUUAACGGAAACAAGCUGUCUCAUGGAUGUUUUAUAGAAUUUAAUUAAGAGGUGAAAAUUCCUCUAUUAUGAAAAAAGACGAGAAGACCCUUAGAAUUUUUAGAAAAGCGGUGAGAUUACUUGUUGAUUUUUGUUGGGGCGACACUGAGACAAAAAACUCUCAGUCAUAGAAGCUAUUUUUUGAUAUUUUUAAUUUAAAAUAAAUUACCUGAGGGAUAACAGCAUAAUUUAUAAAAGUUUGUGACCUCGAUGUUGGACUAGGGAUUCCUUAGACUAGCCGUUUAAGGUUUUUGCUCUGUUCGAGCAGUUUCCCCUACAUGAUCUGAGUUCACGGGAGAGACUCUCCA
rnacentral:rRNA from 1 species